rnacentral:rRNA from 1 species
UGCGUACCUUUUGUAUAAUGGGUCAGCGACUUACGUUCAGUAGCGAGCUUAACCGAAUAGGGGAGGCGUAGGGAAACCGAGUCCGAAUAGGGCGAUUUAGUUGCUGGGCGUAGACCCGAAACCGAGUGAUCUAUCCAUGGCCAGGAUGAAGGUGCGGUAACACGCACUGGAGGUCCGAACCCACUAGUGUUGCAAAACUAGGGGAUGAGCUGUGGAUAGGGGUGAAAGGCUAAACAAACU